rnacentral:rRNA from 1 species
UACGUAGGGUGCGAGCGUUAAUCGGAAUUACUGGGCGUAAAGCGUGCGCAGGCGGUUUUGUAAGACAGCUGUGAAAUCCCCGGGCUCAACCUGGGAACUGCGGUUGUGACUGCAAGACUGGAGUGUGGCAGAGGGGGGUGGAAUUCCACGUGUAGCAGUGAAAUGCGUAGAGAUGUGGAGGAACACCGAUGGCGAAGGCAGCCCCCUGGGUCAAC